GAGCGCGGCACCGGCACACGGUGCGAACUAAUGGCAUUAAAACAAUCCGGAGCAAUUAGUGCCGAGCGGCCAGCGGGGCCAAUGCGCGGAGUGAGCGCCACGGACCUGCCGUGAGGAGGGGGCAGCCCCCGGCUCCCGGAGCAGACGGAACCCGGAGAAGCCCCGAGACACAGAGGACAGCAACUGCAGAGUGCUGCAGACAUCCAUCCACAGUGACUUGGAUUAUGGGAAUGAUUUAACCUAAUCAAGGACAAAACUUUCUGAGGUGACAAAGGCUGCUUAAAUGGCAUCUUACUAGUGUUAAAACUGAAACCAAAAGUGAGCACCAAUGAAAAAUGAGUGACUGCAAAGAAAAUACUUCUGAAAGAACUCACCUGUCCAAAGAACCGUACAUGAAUGUCAAGGUCCUGACAACAUCUUGAAUCAUGUUCCUCAGCUGAGAAAGUGGCACACUGAC